rnacentral:rRNA from 1 species
CAGUAGCCGCGGGAAUACGUAGGGUCCGAGCGUUGUCCGGAAUUAUUGGGCGUAAAGGGCUCGUAGGCGGUUUGUUACGUCGGGAGUGAAAACUCAGGGCUCAACCCUGAGCGUGCUUCCGAUACGGGCAGACUAGAGGUAUGCAGGGGAGAACGGAAUUCCUGGUGUAGCGGUGGAAUGCGCAGAUAUCAGGAGGAACACCGGUGGCGAAGGCGGUUCUCUGGGCAUUACCUGACGCUGAGGAGCGAAAGCAUGGGGAGCGAACAGGAUUAGAUACCCGCGUAGUCCCUGUCUCUUAUAU